CGCAAGCCUGACGGAGCAAGACCGCGUGAGGGAAGAAGGUCUGUGGAUUGUAAACCUCUUUUGAUAGGGAAGAAGACAGUGACGGUACCUAUCGAAUCAGCCUCGGCUAACUCCGUGCCAGCAGCCGCGGUAAUACGGAGGAGGCAAGCGUUAUCCGGAAUUAUUGGGCGUAAAGAGUCCGUAGGUGGGUCACCCAGUCAGCUGUUAAAUAGUGAAGCUUAACUUCAUAGAGGCGGCUGAAACUGGUGGUCUAGAGAGUGGUAGGGGUAGAGGGAAUUUCCAGUGUAGCGGUGAAAUGCGUAGAUAUUGGAAAGAACACCGGUGGCGAAAGCGCUCUACUGGGCCAUUACUGACACUGAGGGACGAAAGC
rnacentral:rRNA from 1 species